rfam:HIV-1 isolate VT7 from Brazil gag protein (gag) gene, partial cds.
GGCCGGAGGAAAAGAAAAAAUAUAGAAUGAAGCAUCUAAUAUGGGCAAGCAGGGAGCUAGAACAAUUUGCAAUUAAUCCAGGCC